rnacentral:lncRNA from 1 species
UUGUCUUAUAUUAAGAGGGAUUUAACUAAGAUUUGAACAUUUGUUUUAGCCCAAUGUUAAAGCCCAAAAUUUGAAGCCCAAACACCUUACCCAUGCCCAAUUCCCCAUCAGAUUUCCUUUUUGGAAUAAAAUUAAAAACCCUACACAAGAACCCCUCAUCUUCUUCAACCUGGGAAAACAUUGAAGAUCUAAAAACAUCUAAACUUCACUCAAAACACACAGCCGCCGACCAACUCCACCAUUCUUGCCGCCAGUGAACUCCUCCAAACGACCACCCCUUCAGCCAUCUCCUCACCUGUCGCAGCUUCACUCACACUACACUCACCCGUCUCUCUCACGCCAGAAAACAUACAUAAAACAGCUGCACCCGACCUCAACACCCAAGGACUGCCCUCUCUCUGAAUAAGAUUUUAUAGAUAAAAAAAGAAAAAGAAAAACCUAGGGCCUAAUCUAGACGAAGAGCAGCGACAAUUCCUUCAGCUUAACCUCUAAGUCAUAGCCGUUUCCACCUUCUUCUCCUUUACAAAAAGAAGCAACCAUCCUCACCAACAACACCACCAAGGUUCCGACUCACCCCAGCUCCAAAACACAAAGCCAGCAACACCAAAAACACACAGAGGACGAAACUCGAUCUGGUCGGUCCUGAGUUUGAGUUGAAAAGGUCUGUCAAAGAGAUUCGCGGUCCGAGCUGCUACUACUGUUGCACUUUUGGGUCAGAUUUGGUUUUUCGGGAUUUGCUGUGACUAAAGUCACGUUUAAUACGAAGAAAUCUUUGAUGAGGUUCAAUUUUCUCUUAUCUCAUAUGUGCUUUGAUCUUUUCAUUAUUUUGUUUAUGGUUUUGGAAAGUUUCAUGUCCUGUUUUGUGUUUUAAUUUGCUUCCUUGAUUCACUGUAGUCUUUUGCAUUACUGUUAAUUUCGUAUUGGACUAGUUUGAAUUAAUUGGGUUAAACUUGAAGUGCAUCAAGAAUAUUAAGGCAAAUAAGUCACAAUUUGAUAAAAUGAAAAAAAUUGAAUUUUGUCAAGGGGUUGGUUUAAUACAAGCAUGGACUUUGUAAAGGCUUACUGGACCGACUGGGAGGGGAAUUAUAAAAUUUGAGCUUGGAUCAAUUUUCUUAGUUCUUUUUCUUGCUUUGUUGCUUUUAAUCGUUAGGAGCAUGUUUAGGCCGUUAAUAUUCGGGUAGGCAAACUCGAGGAUUUUGUUUGUUUAAUUUUGAGGUAAGAGGUCAUUUCCUUAAUUAAAUUUAUCUGGGUAAUGCCCCAAAGGAUUUGUAUAUAUUUUUAUCUGGGGUAUGACCCGUAGUAUCAUGUAUUUGGAGGUCAUGACGAACCUUGGGGAAAAGUAUAGUAUAUAUUAGUGUUUUGGACUUUAUUUUAAUUUUCUUUUCUAUUUUCUUUUAUUAGGUGGGGACGACCUCGAGCCUCUUGUGUGUUUAUUUCGUUUUGUGUAUUUUUGCCUCAAUUAGAAUAUCCUAUAAAACCGACUAGAUCAAGUAUGCAACCGUACUAGUUACGGGACUUGGGGAGUGCCUAACACCUUCUCCCCGAGUCAAAUGAACCCCUUACCCAAAUCUCUGGUGCAGACUUAGUUUUGGAGUCUAAAGUGUUUCAAAAGCAAAAUCAUUUUAAAAAAAACGGUGACCUGACACACCGAAAUCAAAUUUCAAGUGGCGACUCUGAGUUAUUUCCUUUUGAACACAAUUUUUGUCACGUUCUAAUUGGAAAACCUAUUUCAAGCUUUACAAAUCUUUUUAUUAAUUUAAGAGGGUUAGUGAAGUUUUGGUUAAAAAUGGAGUGUGACAAUAGUGGCCUGGUGAAAAACUUGGCGAGUAUGGGUCUUGUUAGCACAACUAUUGUGAAGCCACUUCUUGAGACAUUGUACCGGUGUGGGAUGCAAAAGUUAGUAGAUGAUAGUGCCACUUCAUUCCAUGGAAAGCAAAAGGAAUGAAGCGUCAUACCAGGUUGAAGUUAAGAGAGAUGAGCAGCAGUGUAAAGCCCACAUAUCUUCUGAUACGGGAAGAAUUUGGUUCCCUUCUCUCAUUGUUCCGAGCCAACAACAACAACAACAACAACAACAACAACAACAAUAACAACAACUCAUUAUAAUCUCACUUAAUGGGAAAAAGCUUUGAAAAAGAGCCAUGACAUAACUAAUAAAGUUGCUUCCAUAUGACCUUGUGGUCACUGGUUUGAACCAUGAAAAUAGGUGAUUAGAAGAGGAUAUAGAGAAGGGAAAGUGCUAAAAGUUGUUGAAGAAAGAAUGAGUGUAGUUUUUGUUUAAGUAACCCCUUAUUUAUAGAAAAACAAUGACGAAACUAACGGGCAUUCAAUGCUUUUGGGAAAAUGGACCAGCGGUACAUUCAGUGCUUCUGGGGAAUGAACCGACGGGACGUUUCGAUCACUUCGAAUGCCUACGCCACGAGCAUGACAUCAUCAUGAGAGGUUCGAGAAAAUCAAGGUCAAACGUUUCAUAUCAUUCUAUUCUAAGAAAUGCGGGGACUAUCUGUAUAUGGUCAAAAUCGAGGAGUAUGAUUUUGAAGGUUUAAAUCGGGCCAUAGGCCCAAGUCCGAGACUCGAAAUGGGUGUCGUAUCCGACUAAGAGACAUCUACCUCAGGAAAGCUGAUCGAGUGCCUGGCACGGACUGCAUCAAGGGGUAGCAUUAUCUCGAAAUCAAUCAAGAAAGAGCGGGAAUUUCUCAAGGACACGUGGAUCUGGACAUUAAUUAUAGGAUAAGGGUUGUACGAAGUGGUACAGGUUCGUACUAGGCCGUUAUACACCUGUACCAAUAGAAUUCUUUACCUUUGUGAGCAAGGUACUACUUAGGGGUUUUCUCCUCCUAUAUAAAGGAGACCCCAAUCAUUUUGGUAAGGCAUCAGACCAUUCACUACAAUAGAACAUUUUUAUUCUUCUCUUGUUUAGCGUGCUCUCCAAUUAUUCUUCAGCUUUAUUGUCUUUACUUUAUUGUUCAUACUUUAUUACUCUUAGUUGACCUCGAGGUCCCUGAAUUGUCGAGCUCGAGGCCCACUAUUGUUCCAACAACACUGAUUUGGUUCAUUAUUUCUUCUUACUUAAGCUCAAUAUUACUUGUAUAAUCGCUAGUAUUAGAAUAUAUCACGUAUCUUUAAAACCACAAAAUAUCUUUAAUUGUUACUCACAUCUUUCGAGGUAAACAGAAAUAUAAGUCUUAUGUUUUAUUUUUUUUGUUUUUUUGUGCUACGAUUACAUAAGGGCGAAUUAUAUCAUUCGUCUCUCGUAUAAUGUAUUGCAAAUCGGUGAUAAGAAAGAGAAUCCUACGAAAGGUGAAAAGAAGCAUAUUUUCAUUUUUCUCUAGGUUGUUGACGCAAGCUGCUGAUAGUCACCUUUUAUGACAUCAAUUAAUGAGAAUCUUUUGUUGUGGUAUGAUUGAAUGAUUAUAUAUAUAGCCAUCUAUGCAAAUAAUCAAACGGAUGAUAAUUUCACGAACUCAACAUUUUCAUCUUCUCCGUUAUGUUUUUGCCUAAUUGAGAAAUUAUUUUAUGAUAUUUUUUAGUGUUUGAGUGAUAUAUAGUCAAUAUUUUCUAGGUACUAAAGAUUUAUCACUUAUAAUAAUAUCUAUGUAAUUAGUUUUUAUAGAGAAGCCUUGAAAUAUUUGUAAAUGAAAUUGACUUCCAUCCAUACGUGCGAGAGAAAUCAUUUUUUGCAGGAAAAUAUUUUCCUUAAAACCAUAAUAUUUUUUAGAAUUCAAAGUAAACAAAAAUAUUGAAAUUUAUUUCCAAGAAAAAGAUUUUUGCUUGCCAUAUCAACGAUCUGAUUCUGGUAAUGGUUCUUAGCCUAUUCCAAAUAUUUAAGAAAAAACACAUGCAAUAUACUGAAACAUUUUGCCUAGAAGACACCUUUUGCUUUAUCAACGGUUUCAUAAACAGAAUCUUAUCUAUUCCAAAGAUAUGUCGUGAUUCUUUUAUAUUUGAUAUUUUAUCCACAAGUUCAACUUUAUGAAGAUCCUUUAGAACAUUUGAACACAGAAUAAAUUGUUAUCUUUUUACUUUUUGGGGGGGUGAGGGGUGGGGGGGGGGGAUAAUUAAAGUUGGAGGUUAACGAAGAUAAAAAGCUAGUGCAAUGUGGCGAUUUUUUAUGGAAAAAGGGUCAGAUUAGUCCUUUUACUUUCAAAAAUUAUUCAUAUACUAUGUGAACAGAUAUACCUCUACCGUUAGCAAAGUUUCAGUUUUUGCCCCUAACCCUAGUGGAAACACCUAAUCCACCAAAUCAAUCUUUUAUUUAUUUUCUAUAUUUAAUUUAUCAUAAAAUCAAAGAACUAAGUAAAUCUAUUAAAUUGGAGUCCAAUUUAAUGUUUAGUAGUUUAAAAUUUCUUCAACCACGGAAUUAGAAUAAAUGUAAAAAUGCUGAUUUGGAAUUUAAGCAAAGAAAAGACUCAAAUUUACAGAGUUUGCUUAUUUCUUUGAUAUUCUGAUAAAUAUAAAAAAUAAAUAAAAUAUUGAUUUGAUGGACCAGGGGUUUCCAUUUGAUAAAUUUGUUCUCAUAGAAUAACGGAUGUUAAAUAUAAAUAAUUUUUGAAAGUAAAGAAGUAAAUCUAACGCUUUUCAUCCACAGUUCUAAUAUUUAUAUGUAUAUACUUCCUUUUUUCUUUGACACUGCAGCAGCGGUUAAAGAUUAGAUGCUAUAUCGAUUGGUGUCUUUUCAGGAAUCUGAUUCUUCUAGCCCUGGAUAAGUUUCAUGUUACAGUCUUGUUGAGCAGAACUUUGCCAAAAUCCAGUAUAUAGGGAUAUUAAUUGGAUAAGCCAAUUUUUCUUAUAAAAUGUCUAUUAGUUGCGCUUGUCAAUGUUGGAGCUAAAAUAAGUCGGGGCGGAUCCAGUAGUAUAAAUAUGGGUUCAUUUGAACCGAUUACAUUUAGCCUAAAUUUGGAUUUAUCUAUGUAAAACUUUUUUUUUUGGUAAAUAUCUAUGUAAAACUUACUAGAAUUAUUUGUAAAUAUUAAAUUAUGAAUUCGGAACUCAAACAAGAUGAUGAGUUUAGUGGUCAAACUCGAUUUUUGAAUCUAUAAAAUUAAAACCUUAGAGGCGUCUUUGACAGAAGUAGUUUAUAUUAAAAGUAUAUAGUACCUUAUCUAAACAUGUAGCUUGAGCGAAAAUGUUAACUUUAUCUAAACAUGUAGCUUGAGCGAAAAUGUUUCAACUUUCUUAAUCCAAUAUCGCUCUUUUGGGUGUUAACUUUAGCUUUGGUAAACAAAUAUGGUAUCUUUGGUAGAUAAAAUUUGUGCUUAAAAAGGUAUAUACAAUACUGGCUUUUGGGACGAUGGAUUAGUUAGUGCCACAUAAAAGAGAAGAGAACCAUUUGUCAAUCAUAUAUAUGCUAAAUAAAACUAGAUGAUAAGGCUGAUAAUAUGUUUGGCCAAAUUUGUAAGAGUUUGUUUGACUAAAUAUUUGGGAGGUCAAAAGAUUUUAUUUUAUUUUUUGUCAAAAAAAACUUUUUGAAAAUUUAUUGUGUUUGGCCGGCAGAGUCUUUUGAGUAGCAGCAAAAGAAGUAUUUAUGCUUUUGGGAAGAAGUUACAAAUUCUAGCUUCUUCCCAUAACUAGAAGGAGAAGCAGAAAACUAAUUUUUAACACAAAAAUAUCCUUAUUAUAAAUUAAUAUAUUCCAAAUUAUCAUUUAUUAAUUUAACUUUUUUUUCUUUUCCUUUUUUGUUUUUACCAUUCUUUUCUUCUUUAUUUAUUUAUUUUAUUUGUGUCGUAUAUUUAUUCUCAUUUUCCUAUUCUUCUUUGAAAUAAUUUCUAUAACGACUCGGUCGGUCGUUUUGAAUAUUUUAGCACCGAUCCUGUCACGCCCCUAGCCCGGGGGCGAAAACGGGCCCUAGUGCCUCAUCUAUCCUUGCGUACCACUUGCGACUAAGAGACUCUGAACAUGUAAUGUCAUACUUUGGCUAUGAGUCACAUUACAAGAUAAUGUGUGAUGCAAAAUAUAAAAUUAAAUGGAGACUAACACUGACUAAUGUCAACAUAAAGUUGGGCCGGCAAGGCCGUCAUAAUUACUACAACUAACAGGCCAACAAAAUAUACGUACAGGGCCUACAAGCCCAACAUUCUGCACUAACCCACAUGAUAUGUCUACAAUCCUCUACUUAUAGAUGUACUGUGAUCAGAACAGGGCCCUGACCUACCCAUAACCUAUCUACAUAUAUACACAAGAUAUACACCACACUGCUAGACCCGCCAACUCCGAAAGAAGGGGAGCUUACUGAUAAAGCUGAACUCGGGCAACACCUACUUUGGAGGUCUACCCGUCUGUCUGUCUGAACCUGCACGUAUGAAAUGCAACGCCUCCAGAAAGGGACGCCGGUACGAAAUAAUGUACCGAGUAUGUAAGGCAAUAUACUGAAAGCUUGAAAUAGAACUGAUGAUAUAAUAUCUGAAAGCAACUGGGGAUCAAAGAUAAUUUGAAGAUAUGCUCAUCAGCUGAUAUUGACUCAACUCUCUCAAUAUAGUGAGUAAAAUAGCUCGGUAUACAUAUAUAUCUACUUUGCCGUAGUAGGCUCGCUCAUAAGCACUCGGCCAUACUAGGCUUUGUAUCUCGAUCAACUGGGCUCGCUCAUAGGCGCUCGGUCACAUUAGGCUCGGUAUAUAACUUACCAUCUGAUCAGAGGUUGCCCAAUAGAGGUCUGCCCAUCGAUUAUAGCUCGAUGGUAAUGAAAGUACUUUUAAUAUACUGUAUAUAUGUAAGCUCUCUGCUCUUUUGAUCGGAAGAAGGAAAUACUCAACUGAAUAUGCAGUCCCGAUAAGAAGAAUAUGAUAACUUACAAAACUAGAAAAAUAUAUGUAAUUUGCGAGACUAGAAAAAUAUAUACAAAUUCCGGGAUACGAAUUUUUCUUUAUGCCUCGUUAUCAAACUUGUGUAAUUACGAUAUCAUGCUAAAAUAAAGGAAAAGUUUAGCCUUAACAUACCUGUUCCUGGAAUUAUUUGAACGGAAUGAAGCUUCUGCCUCCGUGAAAUAUGAACGAAAUUCUGACUGAAUCCUUUGAAAUUGAACGAAAUUGUGGUGGCUCUAUCGAAAUUUGUUUAUCUAGGGGUUGAAUUGUUUGGACAGAAUUGUUUCAAAUGAAGCUUGAGUUGUUGAAAAUGAAAUGUUUCUACUUUUCAACAUUCUUGGCUUUAAAUGCCAAGGCAGAUUGUGGUUCCUUUGAAGUCUUUACAAAACUUCCUAUUAAAUGCUAUAGAUAAGAUUUAUAAAUCUUAUCAAGUCUUAAGUAUGACUUGGUUAUCAUAUUUUAGUCAUUUGCCAAAGUGACUACUAAGUCAUUUUUAAGCUUUAUGGCUUCUUUCCACGUUGGGGGGGGGGGGGAGGGGUUAGUUUAAUAAAUUUUUUUAUCCACUUAUUAGUUAACUAGGUAAUAUUUUGUUACCCGGUAAUUAAUCAAUUACCUGCAUAAUAUAAAAAUUAUCAUAAAUUACUUAAAAUUCUAUUUAUUUUUAAAAUACUUUAUUUAUUAUACUAUUGUGGUCAUAUGGUAUCUUGCAUGGUACUAGUUCAUAAUUAUCGGAUAUUAUUUCUCGACCCGUUUUUAUUCCAAAUUGACCACUUUCAACGAAACUCGUUCUCUUUAAUCUGUGUACCCCUUUAUCAUUCAUAACACUUAUUUAUUACGUGUUAUAAAUAGCGCAAGUACGUUAAUGUCAAGAUGAUCUCAUCCCUGAGUCUACGUCGGUUAUUGAAAACAAAAUUUUAACGUAUGAAAAACGUGAGAUGUAACGUCCUUCCCCCCUUAGAAACAUUCGUCCUCGAAUGUCUAUUCUUAGAUACUUUGGGAACAUUUUUGCCGCAGUCUCUUCCGUACAUCUGACUGAAACCAACCUGUACGCAGUCAGAAAACUUACUAUACAUGCCACACAUGGUCACUGUCUAAAAAUAACAACACUUGGCUCCACACAACUGUCCGUUAUAAAUUCUGAGAGUUAAAAAUGAGAGUUUACCUGAUGACCUACUGGCCUGAGAGUUUAUACCCCCGAGUCAUAUCUUCAGUUUGAAAUAGGUGGGGGUAUUUAGACUUCAUUUCUUCCUCUGCUUCCCACGUCAUCUCUUCCACCUUCUUACUUCUCCAUACAACCUUCACGAAUGUUAUCUCCUUAUUUCGUAGCUUUUGGAUUUGUCGGUCUAGGAUGGCAACCGGAAUUUCCUUGUAUUACAAGUCCUCUGUAAUCUGUACAUCAUCUGUGGGCACCACUUGGGUAGGAUCGCCAAUGCACUUUCGUAACAUAGAUACGUGAAAAACAGAAUGAACAGACUCCAAUUCCGAGGGCAAUUCUAACUCAUAAGCUACUUGGCCUACUCUCCGAAUGAUCCUAUAAGGCCCAUUAUACCGUGGGGUUAAGCUUGCCUUUCUUGCCAAAUCUCAUUACACCUUUCAUAGGUGACACCUUUAGGAAUACCCAAUCAUUAACCCCGAAUUAUAAAUCUCGUCGCCGCACGUCAGAAUAUGACUUUUGACGACUCUGAGCUGUCAACAGUCGCUCCUAGAUAAGCUUUACUUUUUCUAUGGCCUGCUAAACCAGGUCUGGCCCAUGUAACCCAGAUUCUCCAACAUCAAACCACCUUAUAGGAGAUCUGCACCUGCGCCCAUACGAAGCCUCGUACGGAGCCAUCUGGAUACUGGAGUGAUAACUGUUAUUAUAUGCAAACUCGAUAAGAGGUAGAUGUUCAUCCCAACUUCGUUUAAAAUCUAGCACACAUGCUCAUAACACAUCCUCGAGUGUCUGAAUCGUGCGCUCAACCUAUCCAUCAGUUUGUUGAUGAAAAGCUGUGCUGAUAUUCACUUGAGUCCCUAGACCAUUCUGAAAUGACCUCCAAAAAUUUGCUAUAAACUGGGCCCCACGGCCAGAUAUAAUAGAUAUGGGUACUCCGUGUAGUCGCACUAUCUCCUUAAUAUAUAAUUUUGCAUAAUCCUCUACUAUAUAUAUAGAUCUGACCGGUAGGAAAUGAGUUAAUUUCGUGAGCCUAUCGGCUAUCACCCAUAUGGAAUCGAACUUACGUUAAGAACGAGGUAAACCAGUGAUAAAGUCCAUGUUUAUCGCCUCCUAUUUCCAUGUCGCGAUCUCUAUAGUCUGCAUUAGCCUUCUGGCUUCUGGUGCUCUAUCUUCACCUACUGGCAACUAGGGCAUUGAGCGUCAUACUCAGCAAUGUCCCUCUUCAUAUCGUUCCACCAAUACACCUCUUUAAUGUCAGGAUACAUCUUCGUCGACCCAGGGUGAAUGGAGUACAAUGAAUAAUGUGCCUCUGACAUAAUAUUGUCUCGUAGCCCUACUACAUCAGGAACACACAAACAACCUCUGUAUCUGAGAACCCCAUCUCCUUUGAGUUCUAACAAUGACUUCUUCUGUUGGGGAACCCGCUCUCUCAAUNNNNNNNNNNNNNNNNNNNNNNNNNNNNNNNNNNNNNNNNNNNNNNNNNNNNNNNNNNNNNNNNNNNNNNNNNNNNNNNNNNNNNNNNNNNNNNNNNNNNNNNNNNNNNNNNNNNNNNNNNNNNNNNNNNNNNNNNNNNNNNNNNNNNNNNNNNNNNNNNNNNNNNNNNNNNNNNNNNNNNNNNNNNNNNNNNNNNNNNNNNNNNNNNNNNNNNNNNNNNAGGCAUCUACUACAACAUUAGUUUUCCCUAGAUGGUAGAGAAUGUUAACAUCGUAAUCUUUCAAUAACUCAAGCCAUUGCCUCUGUCGCAAAUUCAACUUUUGGCUUGAAGAUAUAUUGCAGGCUUUUAUGAUCCGUGAACACAUCAACAUGAACACUAUAUAAAUAAUGCCACCAUAUCUUAAGUGCAUGGACCACCGCAACUAAUUUGAGGUCGUGGGUUGGAUAAUUCUGCUCAUGCUUCUUCAACUGUCGUGAAGCAUAUGCGAUUACUUUCCCAUGUUGCAUCAAGACACAUCCUAACUCGACACCCGAGGCAUCACAAUAUAUGGCAUAACCAUCUGGACCUUCUAGAAGUGCUAGAACUGGCACUGAGGUCAACAUGUUCUUAAGCUCUUGGAAACUCUGCUCAUAGGACUCUGUCCACUAAAACUUAGUCGCUUUCUGUGUCAGCUUUGUUAAUGGUUCUGAAAGAGAAGAAAAACCAUGUACAAACUUCCGGUAAUAUCUUGCUAAGCCUAGAAAGCUACGAAUCUUUGUCAGAAUGGUAGGUCUAGGCCAGGAUUUCACAACCUCAAUCUUCUGAGUGUCUGCCUUUAUACCUCCGUUGGCUACAAUAUGCCCCAAGAAUGCUACGGACUUUAGCCAGAACUCAAACUUAGAAAACUUAGAAUACAAUUUAUUAUCACAGAGGGUUUGGAGUAUCACUCGCAGGUGAUCCAUAUGCUCAUUCUCUGAACGUGAAUAAACCAGGAUAUCAUCAAUAAAGACUAUCACGAAUAGAUCCAAAUAUAGCCGGAAUAGGCUAUUCAUCAAGUCUAUAAAUAUGGCAGGAGCAUUCGUCAACCCGAAGGACAUGACAAGGAACUCAAAGUGGCCAAAUCGGGUCCUAAAGGCUUUCUUAGGAAUAUCUUUCUCCCGAACUCUGGCCUGGUGGUACCCUGACCUCAAAUCUAUUUUCGAAAAGCAUCUAGCUCCCUGCAACUGAUCAAACAAGUCGUCUAUCCUUGGAAGUGGAUAUUUAUUCUUAAUCGUUACCUUGUUCAGUUGCCUAUAAUUGAUACACAUCCUCAGCGAGCCGUCUUUCUUUCGUACAAAUAGUACCGGUGCACCCUACGGUGAGGUACUGGGUCUAAUGAAACCUUUCUCUAUUAAAUCUUUUAACUGCUCCUUCAACUCCUUCAAUUUGACAGGUGCCAUUCUAUAUGGAGGGAUGGAUAUUGGUUGUGUUUCCGGAAGCAAAUCGAUGCCAAAAUCAAUCUCUCGAUAUGGAGGAAUACCUGGAAGUUCAUCUGGAAAUACAUCUACGUACUCCUUUACUACUGGAAGACUAAAGUGUAGGUAUCUCGGCAUCUGCAUCUUUAACUCGCACAAUAUGAUAAAUGCACCCUCUUGCGAUCAUUUUCCUCGCCUUCAGAUAGGAAAUAAACCUGCCUCUGGGUGGCGCUGUAUUACCUACCCAUUCAAGGACUGGCUCACCCGGAAAAUGAAAUCUGACUAUCUUUGCUCGACAAUAAACUGUGGCAUAACAAGCUACCAACCAGUCCAUGCCCAUGAUAGCAUCGAAAUCCAAUAUCUCUAGUUCAACUAGGUCGGCUGAGGUCUGAUGACCACAAAUUGAUAUCAUACAACCUUGGUAAACNNNNNNNNNNNNNNNNNNNNNNNNNNNNNNNNNNNNNNNNNNNNNNNNNNNNNNNNNNNNNNNNNNNNNNNNNNNNNNNNNNNNNNNNNNNNNNNNNNNNNNNNNNNNNNNNNNNNNNNNNNNNNNNNNNNNNNNNNNNNNNNNNNNNNNNNNNNNNNNNNNNNNNNNNNNNNNNNNNNNNNNNNNNNNNNNNNNNNNNNNNNNNNNNNNNNNNNNNNNNNNNNNNACAAAUGAGGUAACACAUGAAAAAGUAGUCCUGGGUCUAUCAAGGCAUAAACAUCGUGAGAACAAAUGGUCAACAUACCUGUCACAACGUCUGGUGAGGACUCUUGGUCCUGUCAAACUGCUAGCGCAUAUAUAUGAUUCUGGUUACCAUUUGAACUGGACCCUCUACCUCUGCCUCGACCUCUACCAGCCGAAGACUGAGACUUGUGCCCUGAAGGAUGCACGAACAUAGCUGAUCCUGUUAUUGAAUUUGUUGGUUGCGCCAUACCCCAAGAAUCUCUAUUUGGGAAAUCUCGCAUCAUAUGCCCUGGACGUCCACAUGUAUAACAAGCAUCGAAACCGACUUGGUAUUGGCCCAAGUGUCCUCGACCGCAGAUGGCACACCGUAGCGGAAACGGCCCUGUCUACCUGGAACCUCGUUGUCGCUGCAAACUUGAAGCUUGGGAGCUCUCACCCGGUCCUGACUUAGGAUAGCGGUCAUACAUGUAACCCUAUAGCUGAGGUGGCGAAGGUCUAGGUGGCCAUUCGAAGUACUGGGGACUAUAACUACCCUAAGACCUGGCAAAUCUCAUCCUCUUACGCUGCCCUAACUCAGUCCUCUCCGUACUCUACUGCCGACGCCUACCCCUCUCUAUAUUCUGGGCAAAUGCCUGAAUGAGAUAUCCAUACUAUCUUGUAAUGCAGCGGUGGCACAUACAUCAGUCAACUCUAGGGCCAACCCUGCUAUAAACCUAUGGAUCCUGUCCUGCAUAGUAGCAACUAUGGAUGGUGCAUAUCUGGCUAAUGAGUCAAAAUGGAGACUAUACUCUCGACCACUCAUAUUGCCCUGCUUGAGGGCUAGAAACUUAUCAAGUCGGGCCUAUCAGAUCUCUUGCGGUAUGUACUGGUCAAGGAAGGCAUCUGAAAAAUUCUCCCAAAUAGCAGGAGGUGCAUCACGUCCCCUAGACCUUUCCCAUCCCUCAUACCAAAGGAUGGCUAUAUCUCGGAGUCGAAAAGCUACUAACUCAACUGCCUCUUUCUCCGUGGCAUGCAUAACCUGAAAGAUCCUAUGAAGCUGAUCUAUGAAAUUCUACGGGUCCUCCCUCUGAUCUAUCCCCGUGAACUCUAGGGGAUUCAAAGCAAUAAACUCUCGGACCUUUGAACUCCCAGAUCCCUCAGAAGGUCAUGCACUAGCGGAUUCCCUAGCCUGUUGCUGGGUAACUACCAACUGUGCCAACAAAUGCACCACACUCCUCAAGUCCUGAUUUGAUGGAAGCGGAGGGGGAACUAGACAUGCGGUCUCCCUAGGAAUCUCCUCAGGUAGUGGAGAGCCGGUAAUCGCUGGGUAGGGGUCUCUCCCUAUGACUCCGAUUGAGCCCCAUCUGCUGGGGGUACCCUUCUAGUCCCCUCACCUACUGUUGUUUGUCUACUCUGGCUAGCCAUAGUCUUCCUAGUUACCGUCAUCUGUGCAUUCAAACGUCAACACGUAAGUUUAACUCAAAUUUCCUAUAACUUAGUGCUACUACAACACGAUUUAGAUUUGAAAGAAGGGUAACUAAUUCCUAAAGGCCAUAUAGUCCCCUGCUUAUAUAAUGUGGUGCACCACACAUCUAUAAAUAAGACCCUACUAGACACAGCUUGUAGACUCCCUAGGAUAUAACUGCUCUAAUACCACUUUUGUCACAUCUCAAGUUUUUCGUAUGUUAAAAUUUCGUUUUCAGUUAACCGACGUAGACUCAGGGAUGAGAUCAUCUUGACAUUAACGUACUUGCACUAUUUAUAACAAGCAAUAAAUAAGUGUUAUGAAGGAUAAAGAAGUAUACAGACUAAAGAGAAUGAGUUUUGUUGAAAGUGGUCAAUUUGGAAUAAAAACGGGUCAGACAAUAAUACCCGAUAAUUAUAAACUAGUACCAUGCAAGAUACCAUAUGACCACGGUAGUAUAAUAUAUAAUGUAUUUUAAAAAUAAAUAGAAUUUUAAGUAAUUUGUGGUAAUUUUUUAAAUUAUACGGGUAAUUGAUUAAUUACUGGAUAACAGGAUAUUACCCAGGUAACUAAUAAGUGGAUAAAUUGUUUUAUUAAACUAACUCUCCAAUGUGGCAGGAAGCCACAAAGCUUAAAAAUGACUAAGUAGUCACUUUGCCAAAUGGCUAAAAUAUGAUAACCAAGUCAUACUUAAGACUUGAUAAGAUUUAUAAAUCUUAUCUAUAGCAUUUAAUAGGAAGUCUUGUAAAGACUUCAAAGGAACCACAAUCUUCCUUGGCAUUUAAAGCCAAGAAUGUUGAAAAGCAGAAACAUUUCAUUUUCAACAACUCAAGCUUCAUUUGAAGAAAUUCUGUCCAAACAAUUCAACCCCAUAGAUAAACAAAUUUCGAUAGAGCCACCACAAUUUCAUUCAAUUUCAAAGGAUUCGGUCAGAAUUUCAUUCAUAUUUCACGGAGGCAGAAGCUUCAUUCUGUUCAAAUAAUUUCAAGAACAGGUAUGUUAAGGCUAAGAUUUUCCUUCAUUUUAGCAUAAUAUCAUAGUUACACAAGUUUGAUAACGAGGCAUAAAGAAAAAUUCAUAUCCCGGAAUUUGCAUAUAUUUUGCUAGUCUCACAAAUUACAUGUAUUUUCCUAGUUUUGCAAGUUACCAUUUUCUUCUUAUCGGGACUGCAUAUUUAGUUGAGUAUUUCCUUCUUCCGAUCAAAAGAGCAGAGAGUUUACAUAUAUACAAUAUAUUAAAAGUAUUUUCAUUAAUAUCGAGCUAUAAUCGAUGGGCAGGCCUCUAUUGGACAACCUCUGAUCAAAUGGUAAGUUAUAUACCGAGCCUGAUGUGGCCGAGCGCCUAUGAGCGAGCCCAGUUGGUCGAGAUACACAGCCUAGUAUGGCCGAGCGCUUAUGAGCGAGCCUACUAUGACAGAGCAGAUAUAUUUGUUUAUCGAGACUUAUAGGGCCGGAAAACUAUUUUACUCGCUAUAUUGAGAGAGUUGAGUCAGUAUCAGCUGAUGAGCAUAUCUUCAGAUUAUCUUUGAUCCCCAGUUGCUUUCAGAUAUUAUAUCAUUAGUUCUGUUUCAAGCUUUUAGUAUAUUUCCUUACAUACUCGGUACAUUAUUUCGUAUUGAUGUCCCUUUCUGGGGGCACUGCAUUUCAUGCGUGCAGGUUCAAACAGACAGACGGGUAGACCUGCUGAGUAAGUGUUGCUCGAGUUCAACUUUAUCGGUAAGUUCCCCUUCUUUCGGAGUUGUUGGGUCUAGCAGUGUGGUGUAUAUCUUGUGUAUAUAUGUAGAUAGGUUAUGGGUAGGUCGGGGCCCUGUUCUGAUCACAGUACAUCUAUCAAUAGAGGCUUGCAGACAUAUUCUGUCGGUUAGUGCAGUAUGUUGGGCUUGUAGGCCCUAUACGUAUAUUUUGUUGGCCUAUCAGUUGUAGUAAUUAUGAUGGCCUUGCUGGCCCAGCUUUAUGUUGAUAUUAUUCAGUGUUAGUCUCUAUUUAGUUUUACAUUUUGCAUCGCACAUUAUCUUGUAAUGUGGCCCAUAGCCAAAGUAUGACAUUACAUGUUCAGAGUUUCUUAGUCGCAAGUGGUAAGCAAGGAUAGAUGAGGCACUAGGGCCCAUUUUCGCCCCCGGGCUCGGGGCGUAAUAGAUCCCCUAAAUUAUGCUUCCACUAUGCUAUAUUGUGGCUAUGUGACUUGUCGGGGUGGCUCGUUUUGGUUUCGGGUUAGUUUAGGAGUGAAAUGGGAUUAUGACUUGUCGAGGUGGCUCGUCUUAGAGUUCACCAUAGUUUGACUUAUCCGAAAGUUAGAAUAGGUAUGUAAUGUCAUUUAUGACUUGUGUGCAAAAUUUGGAGUUAAUUGGAGUUGUUUUGGUAUGAAUCAGAUUAGUUUGGAAUUUGGAAGUUUAUAAGUUUCUUAGACUUGAAUUGAUGCUCGAAUCGUGAUUCUAGUGUUGCUUGAUAUGAUUUGACGCUUUGAAAGUGUUCAUAUGAUGUUUUAGGAAUUAUUGGUAUGUUUGGUUGAGGUACCUGGGGCCUCGGGUGUAAUUCGGACCAUGUUGAGCGCAUUUCGGAUCGUUGAGAAGCUGAUGAAUCUAGUGUUUCUGGUGUCCUUAUAUGCGAUUGCGGAUGAGUUAACGUGAUCGCAAAGGUUAAAUUGGCACUAGGGAGAAUUUAUUCUAUAUGAUCUCAUGAAGGGCCUGCGAUCGCAGAAGGCUAGUCUCCAGUGAAUCACAAAUGCAUGAAGGUAGUCGUGUUCGCGUAGAAGAAUUAGGGGGCUGCAGGUUCACACGCUUUUCUUCAUCGCGGUCAUGUGGUGUGUUACGCGGUCGAGUAUCAUGAUGAGGCAGUGUUUCGCAUUCGCAUGAGGUUUUAUUGCGAUCGCGAAAUGUUAUUUUGGGCAACAACAUUUUUGUGUUUCGCGAACACGAAGCAUUUUCCGCGUUCGCGAAGAAAUACUCACUGGGCAACAUAACUUAAGUUUGAAAUCAAGGGUUAUUCCAUAUUUUAUAUUUUGGACUUAGAGAGAUCGGUUUGAGGAAAAAUUUCGAGGUAUUUUCAGGGUAAUUGUUGGGAUAAGAAUUCUUAACUCGAUUUUGGUUAAAUUACACUAAACUAUCAUUGUUAUUAUCAUGUAAUUAAGGAUUGGAGUUGGAAAAUUUGGGAAAAAGUGGUAGAAAUUCUUAGACUAAGUUUUUGGGUUUUGAAAGGCAAAAUNNNNNNNNNNNNNNNNNNNNNNNNNUUUUGUCGGGUUUUGAGACGUGGAUCCGAGUUAACUUUUUAGGUCGAUUUUUCAAUUCUUUGCAAAGAUCGUAAUUUCAUUAUUUGAAUUAGUUUCCUAUAGUGAUAUUUAUAGUAUGAAAUUAUUUUUUCUAGUUUCGAGCCAUUCAGAGUUGGAAAAUCGAGGGAAAGGCCUUCUAGUGGAUUGAUUUAGUGUGGUUUGAGGUAAAUGAAUUGCCUAACUUUGUGUGGGGGAACUUUCCCUUAGGAUUGGUGUUACCUGUGAUAAUUGUGAUGUGUAAGAGCCGUGUAUGCAAGGUGACGAGUGUGUACACGGGCUAAAGGUGAAAAUUACCGAUUUUUAGCUAUGAGAAUUUCUUUCAUGUCUUAAUUGAGUUACCUUAAUAUGUUAUGGUCUUCAUUUUUAGUCUAAUUUCAAAUGUCUACUUAAGCAGUCAUCAUCUAAAAUGUAUACUUUCGAGUCCCGUGUGUAUUUUCCUUUUUCAGGGAUGGACCAAAGGAAGAAACAAUCUAGUGAUCGAGAUUUCAUACUUCAAAGCUCUAACACUGGGAGGACUAUAUAUAUAUAUAUAUGAAGAGGCAAAGAAGACAAAAAGUCAGAAUUCAAGCCUGAAUCAGCCUAAGAGCAAAAACCAAG